GGGGAAUAUUGGGCAAUGGGGGAAACCCUGACCCAGCAACGCCGCGUGGAGGAAGAAGGUUUUCGGAUCGUAAACUCCUGUCCUUGGAGACGAGUAGAAGACGGUAUCCAAGGAGGAAGCCCCGGCUAACUACGUGCCAGCAGCCGCGGUAAUACGUAGGGGGCAAGCGUUGUCCGGAAUAAUUGGGCGUAAAGGGCGCGUAGGCGGCUCGGUAAGUCUGGAGUGAAAGUCCUGCUUUUAAGGUGGGAAUUGCUUUGGAUACUGUCGGGCUUGAGUGCAGGAGAGGUUAGUGGAAUUCCCAGUGUAGCGGUGAAAUGCGUAGAGAUUGGGAGGAACACCAGUGGCGAAGGCGACUAACUGGACUGUAACUGACGCUGAGGCGCGAAAGUGUGGGGAGCAAAC
rnacentral:rRNA from 1 species